rnacentral:lncRNA from 1 species
AAAUCUAAAUACUUAUAACAGGUUAAUCUAAUGGCUAACAUUAUAAAAAAUGUUCAGAAUUUAAAAGAUACAUAAAAAUUCAUUCCAUUUCAAGUAGCUGCAAAAAAAAACUGCCUUAAAAAUAUAUCACAAGUAAUGAAGCACAACUUGAGAGAAACAAUACUAAAGGAUGCUUUAAGUGAACAUUCUAAUAUUUUGGGAAGUACAAAGCUACUUUCAUAAGAAGCUGAAGAAUGGAAAAGAUGAGUGAGCAAACUUAUCAAAAAAAUAGGAAAGUAUAAGUGAGAUUGAAAAAAAUCAAAAUGGUAAAGAAAAUCAGAUGAAGACUCAGGGUGAACUCUUUGGAUGCAAGAUUUGGGUUGCUGUUCUUGGAUAGUGAGAACUUAGAAUUGGAUAUAAUGAAUCCAUUAGAAAGUGGAGACCUCUUAGAUGAUGAAUCCAAAGGAGUUUUGAAGAAACUGAUUGAUAAAGCUGAGUUAAAUUUGUAAGAACUCAGAGAUAACAGAAAUCAAAUGUAUACUAAAUUAACUGAAUAAAAUAAAUAACUGAUGCACUUAAGGAACAUAUUAAGUCUCCAAACUCAGAAAGCUUAGCUGCAGUCAGAAAGGGAAAGCAAAAAUGUCAAUUCCCUUCUGAACUGCACUGAGGAAAUGAAAUUUAACUAAAUAUCCAACUUACAGAGAAUUUAUCCUGGAAAAAUAGAAGAGCAUCUUUUCAAGGAAGAUGAAAAGAUCAGCCAUGUAUGUAAAGAGCUGGACACCUAUAAAAUAUAUGCCAAAAUUCUUUCAGAAAAGGUCAUCACUCACUAUUAUGAAAUUCAGCUUUGUAGGUUGAAAAAAAUCAUGUUAACUUAGAAAAGAAAAUACACAUAUUGGACAAAAAAACUAUUAAGGAAUAAUUUAAAUGCCUUAAAAAUAUUGUUAUGUAUUCAAUGUUCCAAAUAGGGCAUUUGGGUACGGAGGACUACCAGGGAAUCUCCUAGACAACAAAGUCCCUAAGGAAGGAGGAACAUCAGGCUGUGAGAGGAUCCAGGGUCCAGUGUCAGAUUUUGACCAGAUAGCAUCGCCCCUGGGUCAGGACCACAGGAUCAGGACCAUCCAUCUGGCCAGCUCUGUCCUGAUGCAGCAAUUUCUCCAUAAGACAGAGUUUGUCCUAGUGCUCAUGUGCUGUCCUAGGGCAGAUACUUGGGACUGUCUUUAGAUUCAACACCCCCCCCAUACACACACACAAACAACUGAACAUGACACUACUGGCCCAGAGUCCUCCCUCUCCCCAACCCAUCAGAUGAAUCUCAGGGGAAAACUCCUGAGAAGAGGAAUCUCCCAGAAAUCACCUUCACUGAGGGACUUCCCUAGCCCAGCACCUCCUCCACCACCAACAAAAAGUGUCUCAACAGCAACUGUUGGAUUUAGCCUUCUGCCACACAAUCCAUAAACAGAAGUUGGUCACCUUUUGAAUUGGUCCCCCCUCCCAGUGAGUCUCCUUCUAGAAAUCCAGAGCCACAG